GACGAACGCUGGCGGCGUGCCUAAUACAUGCAAGUAGAACGCUGAAGGAGGAGCUUGCUCUUCUGGAUGAGUUGCGAACGGGUGAGUAACGCGUAGGUAACCUGCCUGGUAGCGGGGGAUAACUAUUGGAAACGAUAGCUAAUACCGCAUAACAGUAGAUGUUGCAUGACAUUUACUUAAAAGGUGCAAUUGCAUCACUACCAGAUGAACCUGCGUUGUAUUAGCUAGUUGGUGGGGUAACGGCUCACCAAGGCGACGAUACAUAGCCGACCUGAGAGGGUGAUCGGCCACACUGGGACUGAGACACGGCCCAGACUCCUACGGGAGGCAGCAGUAGGGAAUCUUCGGCAAUGGACGGAAGUCUGACCGAGCAGCGCCGCGUGAGUGAAGAAGGUUUUCGGAUCGUAAAGCUCUGUUGUAAGAGAAGAACGAGUGUGAGAGUGGAAAGUUCACACUGUGACGGUAUCUUACCAGAAAGGGACGGCUAACUACGUG
rnacentral:rRNA from 1 species